rnacentral:rRNA from 1 species
GCUAGUAAUGGCAGGUCAGAAUACUGCCGUGAAUACGUUCCCGGGCCUUGUACACACCGCCCGUCACACCAUGAGAGUUGGGAAUACCCGAAGCCCGUGGGCUAACCGAAAGGGAGCAGCGGUCGAAGGUAGAAUCAAUGAUUGGGGUGAAGUCGUAACAAGGUAUC